rnacentral:piRNA from 1 species
UGGUAGAGCCCCCGAGCAUUUAUAUAC